CCAAAGCCAAGAUUCUGCUUAAACUACCUCCUG
rnacentral:tRNA from 1 species